AUUGAACGCUGGCGGCAGGCCUAACACAUGCAAGUCGAACGAGUGGCGGACGGGUGAGUAAUGUCUGGGAAACUGCCUGAUGGAGGGGGAUAACUACUGGAAACGGUAGCUAAUACCGCAUACCAUCGGAUGUGCCCAGAUGGGAUUAGCUAGUAGGUGGGGUAACGGCUCACCUAGGCGACGAUCCCUAGCUGGUCUGAGAGGAUGACCAGCCACACUGUAUCUGAGACACGGUCCAGACUCCUACGGGAGGCAGCAGUGGGGAAGAUUGCACGAAGGGCGCAAGCCGGAUGCAGCCAUGACGCGUGGAUGAAGAAGGCCUUCGGGUGGUAAAGUACUUUCAGCGGGGAGGCGGUAGCCGCAGAAGAAGCACCGGCUAACUCCGUGCCAGCAGCCGCGGUAAUUC
rnacentral:rRNA from 1 species